rnacentral:rRNA from 1 species
GGGGAAUCUUGCACAAUGGGGGCAACCCUGAUGCAGCGACGCCGCGUGAGCGAUGAAGCCCUUCGGGGCGUAAAGCUCUUUCGACCGGAACGAUAAUGACGGUACCGGGAGAAGAAGCUGCGGCUAACUACGUGCCAGCAGCCGCGGUAAUACGUAGGGAGCAAGCGUUGUUCGGAUUUACUGGGCGUAAAGGGCGCGUAGGCGGCGCGGUAAGUCACUUGUGAAAUCUCUGAGCUUAACUCAGAACGGCCAAGUGAUACUGCUGUGCUAGAGUGCGGAAGAGGCAACCGGAAUUCUUGGUGUAGCGGUGAAAUGCGUAGAUAUCAAGAGGAACACCUGAGGCGAAGGCGGGUUGCUGGGCCGACACUGACGCUGAUGCGCGAAAGCCAGGGGAG